GAGCCGAGCCGAGCCGAGCCGAGCCGAGCCGAGCGGGGACUCGCGGGAGGGCCGCGAGGCGCGCGGAGCACGGUUGUUUCCCUGAGGGGCUGAUGGAGCGGUUGUUACCAUGAAUCUGUUUGAACUACAAGCUGCCGCGAGCCUGUGCUGCUCGGCCACGGCGUACUGAAGGCGGGGCUCAGAGACCGCGGCGGCAGCCCGGGCGGGGCGUCCAGCUGGGGCGCGGGGGAGCAGGCGGGACGCGGCCUCGGCGGAGGGAGGUUUCGAUUCCAGCCCCCGCAACCGCUGCUUUUCUCUCUUGUGCAAAAGAGUAUUCUCUCGGGAGCAGAAGUGUGUAGCGGGGCCAGUGCAAAGGAAUGGUGGCUGCGCCCUGUAUCAUUAGCUUUCUCUUACGAGAGGUGACAAGGUUGACAACCAUCUCAAGCACAGACUUUGCUGGGAUGGGAAGAGGUGUGAUUCCCAAUCAAUGCAGCGAGGCUGACAGAAAUCUGUAGUGAGCCAAAUGAGGCCUUUGGAGCUUUUGUACAGAGCGUGCUGACAGCACUGAACAUUGAUGCAAGUGAUACUAGCAGCUUAGUACUUGUAAGGUAGGCAGUAUGAGAAAGAAAUAGUUGCAGGACUUCUAUAUUGCAGAACAUUUGCUGGAGAAGAGAGAAAAGCAAAUUAAAAGGUUGCUGCUGUCUGAUUUCUGCAGGAACCUGAGAAAUGUACAGAAGAUACAGCACCUUUUUACAAUAUAGUACUGUAUCCCCUGCUGUAAUCUGUUUAUUAGAUCAUCAGAAACUUUUUAGGUUAUUAUAUGUAUUACCUCAUGAGUCUGUAGGGACUUUGUACAUCAAGAACUUUGUCUUUAAGUGACUGGCAUUUUUUUUUACACUGUAAGAAGUGUGUAGACCUUAUGUGUGGUCUGUUAACACUUUUGACAUUGUAACAUGGAUGCUAAGGCCUAAGAAAUGUCAGAGCGCUCACAAAACGGAAAGCAGCUGCUACUGAUGGAAAUUACCUACCUGUUGGUACCUUAUGCCUGCUAAAUUCCAAGUCAUGUAAAAUUACAUAAAAUAAAGAAGGAUGCUUUCUUUACUCUUGAUGUUGAAAAUAUGGCCAUCUAAGUCUGCUUUAAGAAGUAAUAUAAAAAGACAAAAUAUAAAGAAUAAAAAAUAAACACAGAACAGUUA